rnacentral:rRNA from 1 species
GUCGGGAAUAUUGCGCAAUGGAGGAAACUCUGACGCAGUGACGCCGCGUGCAGGAAGAAGGUUUUCGGAUUGUAAACUGCUUUAGACAGGGAAGAACAAAGACAGUACCUGUAGAAUAAGCUCCGGCUAACUACGUGCCAGCAGCCGCGGUAAUACGUAGGGAGCAAGCGUUAUCCGGAUUUAUUGGGUGUAAAGGGUGCGUAGACGGUAAUGCAAGUUAGUUGUGAAAUCCCUCGGCUUAACUGAGGAACUGCAACUAAAACUACAUUUCUUGAGUAUUGGAGGGGAAAGUGGAAUUCCUAGUGUAGCGGUGAAAUGCGUAGAUAUUAGGAGGAACACCGGUGGCGAAGGCGACUUUCUGGACAAUUACUGACGUUGAGGCACGAAAGUGUGGGGAGCAAACAGGAUUAGAAACCCGAGUAGUCC